ensembl:lncRNA
AUGGGAGCAGAAGAGCAAGAGGCCCCAGGAGGGGCGACCCAGAGAGAGGUAGCUGCUUUCUGGGGGAUGGUGAAAGCACCUCUCCCGCCCCUGGAGGAGGGCCGGGUGGAGAACCUGGAAAUCUCGACGAAAGAGCGGUUUUCUGUAUCUCUGGGUCCCAGGAGGGCACGGAGAGUUGCGGACGGCCAAGCAACGGACCUCACUCAUCCUCCACCUUCGCCAGAUGGAAGCAGCGGGCGGUUCGAGAGCGUCAACAAAGGCCCUACUCACGCACCCUCUGCCAACCUGUGGAACCAGGUGAACCUUGCACCCCACACUCACACCCAUCUUCGGUCUUUUCACAAGCCGCCCGAGUUGGGUCCCUGUGUUCCACCUUGCUGCCCCACUGUGGGUACGGCUGUGGUUCCGCUGGUCCCGUUUGUACGGUUUCUAAGCACCUGGUCAGCGCUACCCAGCCCAUCUCGCUGGCUUCUGCGGACCAUCAGCCUCGGCUAUGCGAUUCAGUUUGCCCAGCGUCCCCCCAAAUUCAGCGGUAUCCACCUCACUACAGUGAAAGCGUCCAAUGCCCCUGUUCUGCGGGUACUGGCGGAGGACGUGAUAGAGCUGGUCCCUCCAGCCGAUAUGAGGAUGGUGUUUUACAGCCCUUACUUCAUUGUACCCAAGAAAGGCAGUGGGUUUCUGCUCCUGCUUGCACUGGCCUCCAUCAAGAGGGUAGGGGACCUGCACGCAUUUUCAGUUGAUGAUUCGUGCCUGGAGUUUGGGCUGGCUGACUCCCAGGAAAUCCUGAGGCCCCGGCCCAGCAACGUGCCCAAGGUUCCCACUACACCCUUCAAAGACCAAGUGGUGAACCUGCAAGCACUGUCCCUGGAGGAGGUAGACCCAGCCCUGGCUUUGCUCUGUCCCAUCCGAGCAUUGAGAUGCUACGUAGACCAAACACAAAGCUUCAGGACCUCAGACCAGCUCUUUGUCUGUUACGGAGGCCGGCAGCAGGGGAAUGCCGUCUCUAAGCAGAGGAUGGCCCACUGGAUUGAGGAUGCCAUAACCCUGGCUUAUCAGGCACAGGGUGUGCCCUGCCCAUUCAGGUUGCGAACUCACUCAACUAGAAGUGUUGCAUCCUCCUGGGCGCUGGCUCGUGGCGCCUUGGUGACAGAUAUUUGUAGAGCUGCGGGCUGGGCGACCCCUAACACGUCCGCUAGGUUCUAUAGCCUUCGUGUAGAGCCGGUAUCCUCCUGUGUUCGCACCUCAAACGGGUAG